GAUGGAGUUUACCGAGACUGAGAAUGGACCAAUAAUUAAAUCUUGGAUGAAAAUUUCUUUUACAUUUUUCUCUAGGUAAUAUAUUUUUAACAACUCCAUUCCAACUUCAUCUGUAAAGGAAAAGAAUAUUCUAUAUUCACAACUUGUCUCAAACAAGAGAAAGAAGCAGGUAUAAAAUUAUUUAUAGAUAUUUACGAUAUGUUUCCUAUGGUAAGUGAGUUCAUGAAUUAUGGUCAACAAACAAUACGAGUUGCAAGGUACAUUGGUUAAGGUUUCAUGAUUACCUUGUCCCAUGUGAAUCAUUUACCUGUAACUGUUCAAUACCCCUACGAAAAAUUGAUCACAUCCGAAAGUUUCUGAGGACGAAUCCACUUUGAAUUUGAUAAAUGCAUUGCUUGUGAAGUAUGUGUUCGUGUAUAUCCUACGGAUUUACCCGUUGUUGAUUGAAAAUUGGAAACAAAUAUUUGAAAGAAACGAUUACUUAAUUACAGUAUUGAUUUUGGAAUUUGUAUAUUUUGUCGUAAUUGCAUUGAGUAUUGUCUAACAAAUUGUUCAUCAAUGACUGAAGAAUAUGAACUUUCUAUUUAUAAUCACCAUGAAUUGAAUUAUAAUCAAAUUUCUAUAGGUCGAUUAUCGGUGUCAAUAAUUGACGAUUACACAAUUCAAACACUUUCAAAUUCACCUCAAAUAAAAAAUGGAAAAAAAUCCUUGAUUUAAAAACCAUUCCAUCAUUUUUGGAUCCAAAAGUAUGAGUUUUUUGCUUGGUCAAUAGGUUGGUUGGCAAGAAAAGUGGCUUAAUUUGGAUUUUAAAUCGAUUUCUAUUCAACUAGUGAUUUCAAAAUUGAGAGCUUCAAACUCCUCUUUUGGAUAAAGAAUAAGAGUAGUCCCAUAAAUGUAUCUACAUCAAUCCAUGUCACACCCAUUCCAAUUUAAUUCAAUUAAGAAGUAUCCUCAGAGAUAACUUCUUUUUUUCCUAGUAAGGUCAACAAAGUCAUGAAAUAUUUUGAUUUAUCUAUUUUUCUUUUCUAUAAAAUCAAAUGGAUUUACUUGAACCAAUAAAUGAUUUUCUUUUACUCUUUCUAGGAUCGGGUCUUAUAUUAGGGAGUCUAGGAGUAGUAUUACUUCCCAAUCCAAUUUAUUUGGCCUUUUCGAUUGGCUCUUUUUGGUAUAUCCUUAUUCUAUAUUCUAUCGAACUCAUAUCUUGUAGUUGCUGUGCAACUCCUUAUUCAUGUGGGAGUUAUAAAUAUUUUGAUCAUUUUCGCUGUGAUGUCAUGAGUGGUUCAGAAUAUUACAAAGAUUUUUAUCUUUGGACCAUUGGAGAUGGAGUUACUUCAAUAGUUUGUACAAGUCUUUUUAUUUCAUUAAUUACUACUAUUCAGAUACUUCAUGGUACGGGAUUAUUUGGACUACAAAAUCAAACCAGAUUAUAGAGCAAGAUUUGAUAAGUAAUAGCCAAUAUAUUGGAAUUCAUUUAUCAACAAAUUUUUUUCUUCCAUUUGAACUCAUUUCAAUAAUUUUUUUAGUCACUUUAAUAGGUGCAAUUGCUAUAACUUGUCAAUAAUAAAUCUUUAAAACUAGGAAUUCCAUUCAAAUAAAAUAAACGGAAAUGAAUGUUUUAAUCCUUUAAUUAGAAUUACUGUCUAAAAUAAAAAUGCUUUAGCUUUAGGUAGAUCUAUUACCAAUAUAUUCCCCAUUGUUGGAAUUGAAUCCCUGGAAUUAUUGUUCAUAUUGAAUGAAUCGAGAUUAAUAAGGAGUUGGUUAAUGAUGCUAGAACAUGUACUUGUUUUGAGUGCCCAUUUAUUUUCCAUUGGUAUCUACGGAUUGAUCACAAGUCGAAAUAUGGUUCGAGCUCUUCUGUGUCUUGAACUUAUAUUAAAUUCAAUUAAUAUAAAUUUUGUAACAUUUUUUGGUUUUUUUGAUAAUCGUUAAUUAAGAGGAGCUAUUUUCUUCAUUUUGUUAUAGCUAUUGCAACAGUUGAAGCAGCUAUUGGACCGACUAUUGUUUCAUCAAUUUAUCGUAACAGAAAAUCAACUCGUAUUACCAAAUCCAAUUUGUUGAAUAAAUAGUAUUAAUUAUAUAAAUAGAAAUUCGAAUAUUCAGAAAUUAUUUUAAAAUUAAUUUUAAUUAGCAGGUUUGCUAAGCGUAAGGUAGGAUCGUGGUUGCAAAAGCAUAAGAAACCAAAGUAUUUUGGCUAUCUUUCAUAAACCAAUUCACAAAUAGA
rnacentral:lncRNA from 1 species